GCUUCCCCCAAAGAACUAUUGUUGAACAGGUACACUUCCCCUGUAUCCUAAUAACUUUUCUCUUCCACUACCUCUGCUGGAUGGUGGGCUAAAGGAGAAGUUAAAAGUAGGUUGCAAAAAAUUAUGCCUACAGGUGGCACCCAAUGUGGCUUAGGCAUAAUGGGUAACUCUGCUUCUAAUGUGGUAGAGAAAACUGUAGAUUAUGAGGGGUUAGCAAUGUUACUUAAGGAAAAUAGCAAAAUGGCAGCUUCAGUUGCUGGGUAGUCUCCUACUAUGUUCCUAGCAGGGGUUUUCUAGUUUUGCUUUGUAGUGUUCACAUAUACUAUUCUGAAAGUUUGGAGGGAAAGCUGAAAACUCAGGAGGUUAACUCAAUUCUCUUUUGUUAGAAAACAUUGCAGACUUGGCUAUGCAUGUAGAGUUUGUGACUAGAAGUCGAGGUGCUUAGAAAGCAAAAAGAACCAGGGGGAGAACAACAGAGUUCAAGCUUGGUGCCCAAAGUGCCUCAGUGAGACAAGGAGCCGGGAAGAGCAAGCACAAAGGGUUAAUGUGCAACCGAGUGCACCACCAGAGGAUUUGCGUGGGCCUACACAGCCUUCCCAGUCUUUGUGCAGCAUGUGCCUG
rnacentral:lncRNA from 1 species